ACACAUGCAAGUCGAGGGGCAGCAUGGUCUUAGCUUGCUAAGGCCGAUGGCGACCGGCGCACGGGUGAGUAACACGUAUCCAACCUGCCGUCUACUCUUGGACAGCCUUCUGAAAGGAAGAUUAAUACAAGAUGGCAUCAUGAGUCCGCAUGUUCACAUGAUUAAAGGUAUUCCGGUAGACGAUGGGGAUGCGUUCCAUUAGAUAGUAGGCGGGGUAACGGCCCACCUAGUCUUCGAUGGAUAGGGGUUCUGAGAGGAAGGUCCCCCACAUUGGAACUGAGACACGGUCCAAACUCCUACGGGAGGCAGCAGUGAGGAAUAUUGGUCAAUGGGCGAGAGCCUGAACCAGCCAAGUAGCGUGAAGGAUGACUGCCCUAUGGGUUGUAAACUUCUUUUAUAAAGGAAUAAAGUCGGGUAUGGAUACCCGUUUGCAUGUACUUUAUGAAUAAGGAUCGGCUAACUCCGUGCCAGCAGCCGCGGUAAUACGGAGGAUCCGAGCGUUAUCCGGAUUUAUUGGGUUUAAAGGGAGCGUAGGCGGACGCUUAAGUCAGUUGUGAAAGUUUGCGGCUCAACCGUAAAAUUGCAGUUGAUACUGGGUGUCUUGAGUACAGUAGAGGCAGGCGGAAUUCGUGGUGUAGCGGUGAAAUGCUUAGAUAUCACGAAGAACUCCGAUUGCGAAGGCAGCCUGCUGGACUGUAACUGACGCUGAUGCUCGAAAGUGUGGGUAUCAAACAGGAUUAGAUACCCUGGUAGUCCACACAGUAAACGAUGAAUACUCGCUGUUUGCGAUAUACAGUAAGCGGCCAAGCGAAAGCGUUAAGUAUUCCACCUGGGGGAGUACGCCGGCAACGGUGAAACUCAAAGGAAUUGACGGGGCCCGCACAA
rnacentral:rRNA from 1 species